rnacentral:rRNA from 1 species
GACGAACCUUGCAAACGUUAUUCGGAAUCACUGGGCUUAAAGGGUGCGUAGGCUGUGCAGAAAGUUGGGUGUGAAAUACCUCGGCUUAACCGAGGAAUUGCGCCCAAAACUACUGUGCUCGAGGAAGAUAGAGGUGAGCGGAACUUAGGGUGGAGCGGUGAAAUGCGUUGAUAUCCUAAGGAACACCGGUGGCGAAGGCGGGUCUCUGGGCCGAUACUGACGCUGAGGAGCGAAAGCGUGGGGAGCAAACAGG